rnacentral:rRNA from 1 species
UACGAAGGGGAGCUAGCGUUGUUCGGAAUUACUGGGCGUAAAGCGCGCGCAGGCGGCUAUCCAAGUCAGUGGUGAAAGCCCGGAGCUCAACUCCGGAACUGCCAUUGAAACUGUUUAGCUUGAGGACGAGAGAGGUGAGUGGAAUUCCCAGUGUAGAGGUGAAAUUCGUAGAUAUUGGGAAGAACACCGGUGGCGAAGGCGGCUCACUGGCUCGUAUCUGACGCUCAGGCGCGAUAGCGUGGGGAUCAAACAGG